CAUGGAAAGUAGAACCCACAGUUGUGCAAAGAUAAACACUGGCAUAAGGUUGCCAUAGGAAAGUUGAAAGAAUUAUUUCAGUUCUUUUCACAGAUUGUGUUUCAAGCACUGGACAGAAGAGCAAAGUGUUUAAAUAGCAGGGAAGGAAAAACUGCCAAGUAAAUGGUCAUGCGUUACCCUCCUCAUUAUUUGGGGCAUUGAAAAUAAAGGUUCAGAGGGUCGUAAACAUUCCCUUUCUGGCUACUUUUCUAAUGUGUACAAGUGACAAGUUAAUUUAAAAUAAACACAUUGGCAGGGCAUGUGAUUAUUUGUCCUAUUUUUUUUUCUUUAAAGGAACAAAACAAUGACACAAAUAGGAAAAGUAAACUGAGGCAUUCACCCUGUGCAUCUGUUUUCACUCAUUAAAUGUGAGAGAUCUAUUGCGCAGACCAAAAGAUCCCAGCUCCUUGCCUGACUAACCUAAUCAGAGAUGGCUGACGCAGCGCACAGUCAGCAAAAAGACAUCUGAAGCUGUUCAUUCAUGCAACGGGGCAGAGUACACUGCUGCCCAAACUCAUCAUCAUAAACUCUCUUUCCCCCAGACUUGAAGCCUGCCUGCUCUGACCCUUUAAAAUUUGGAUUUAUUCUAUUCUGUUCUAAGGGCAGCACUUAGAAAAGUUGCCUCUUCGAGUCACAGAUCUUAGAAACCAGCUAUUGGCAUCAACAUGGUCUCUAGUGGUCGGAGAUUUGAGGAGUUAUAGUCCCAAAAGACCAACAAACACAUCUAGCAAGGAGCAGCAAAAACUGAAAUGCAGUGUUUCCGGGCAUGAGAUUUACUCUUUGAUAUUUCAAAACAUCAUUGAAGAGGAAAAGAACAUGCCCUGAGAUGGGUUUCUCUCCAGACAAUUGCCAGGUUCUCGGCAGCCCCUCAUAGAACAAAAAUGCUUUACUGAACCCAAAUAAAAACCUGUGUUCAAGGCAA